GACGGAGGUCCCGAGCGUUGUUCGGAAUCACUGGGCUUAAAGCGCGUGUAGGCGGGACGGAAAGUACCUUGUGAAAUCCCCGGUCUCAACCCGGGAAUGGCUGGGUAAACUUCCGCCCUUGAGGCAGGUAGGGGUCACUGGAACCUUAGGUGGAGCGGUGAAAUGCGUAGAUAUCUAAGGGAACGCCUGUGGCGAAAGCGGGUGACUGGGCCUGUCCUGACGCUGAGACGCGAAAGCGUAGGGAGCAAACGGG
rnacentral:rRNA from 1 species